rnacentral:lncRNA from 10 species
UACUUCCCCUGCCUACUAUGGAAAGGAGAAAGGUCAGAGUGAGCCUGUGAUGCUCAAGCCACCCCAUGAGCACCCAAGCUGCCUGGUUCUGCUGUCCCAAAAGGCUGAAGGAUAGUACAAAGGGACUGGAAGGAGAGAAGGUGCCUUGACAGACACAUGCGACCCUGCAGGACUGGGGAGCAAUGAGGAUCACAGAGCCCAUCAGGGGAACAUGUUCUGUGCUGAAGUGCAG